AGAGCAUAAGGUGAAUGCCUUGGCAUCAAGAACCGAUGAAGGACGUAAAAAGCUGCGAUAAGCUUCGGGGAGGCGCACAUAGCCAACGAUCCGGAGAUUUCCGAAUGGGGAAACCUAGCUGAGAAAAGCUCAGUUGGCGUACAGUGAAUCAAUAGCUGUGCGUAGGGAACGCUCUGAACUGAAACAUCUAAGUAGGAGCAGGAAGAGAAAGAAACAUCGAUUUCCUAAGUAGUGGCGAACGAACGGGAAACAGGCCAAACCGAGAUACAUGUAUUUCGGGGUUGUGGACUACAUCAUGUGAUGGAGGUAAGGUAGUAGAAUUGUUUUGGGAAAGCAAGCCAAAGAAAGUGAAAGCCUUGUAUACGAAACCUGAAGACCCACAGUAGUAUCCAGAGUACAUCGGGACACGUGAAACCCUGAUGGAAGCCGGAGGGACCACCCUCCAAGCCUAAAUAUUCCUUGAUGACCGAUAGCGAAGAAGUACUGUGAAGGAAAGGUGAAAAGAACCCCGGGAGGGGAGUGAAAGAGAACCUGAAACCUUAUGUUUACAAACAGUCGAAGUUUUUCGGAACGACGGCGUACUUUUUGUAGAACGGUCCGGCGAGUUGCAGUGACAUGCGAGGUUAAGGAGUACAGCUCCGGAGCCGAAGGGAAACCAAGUCUUAACUGGGCGUCUAGUAUGUUAAUGCAGACCCGAAACCGGGUGACCUAUCCAUGGGCAGGUUGAAGUUACCGUAAAAGGUAAUGGAGGACCGAACUCACAUCUGUUGAAAAAGGUGGAGAUGACCUGUGGAUAGCGGAGAAAUUCCAAUCGAACUCGGAGAUAGCUGGUUCUCCUCGAAAUAGCUUUAGGGCUAGCCUUGAGGUAAAGUCUAAUGGAGGUAAAGCACUGAUUGGACGCGGGUCCCCAAAAGGAUACCAACUUCUAUCAAACUCAGAAUGCCAUAUAGAUAUACUCAGGAGUCAGACUAUGUGAGAUAAGUUUCAUAGUCAAAAGGGAAAGAGCCCAGACCGACAGCUAAGGUCCCAAAGUGUGUGUUAAGUGGAAAAGGAUGUUAGGUUUCUAAGACAACUAGGAUGUUGGCUCAGAAGCAGCCACUCAUUUAAAGAGUGCGUAACAGCUCACUAGUCGAGAGGUCUAGCGCCGAAAAUGUCCGGGGCUAAAACACACCACCGAAGCUACGGAAUUACCUAUGGUAAUUGGUAGAGGAGCAUUCUGUAAGGAUGAAGCACAAUUGAAAGAGAGUGUGGACGAAACAGAAGAGAGAAUGCCGGAAUGAGUAGCGAGAUAUAUGUGAGAAUCAUAUAGGUCGAAUGUCUAAGGUUUCCUGGGUAAAGCUGAUCUGCUCAGGGUAAGUCGGGACCUAAGGUGAGGGCGAGAGCCGUAAUCGAUGGACAACAGGUAGAAAUUCCUGUACUACGUAUAAUCAGAACUGUGGGGACGCAGGAGGAUAGGAAAACCGGAGAAUGGAAAAAUCCGGCUAAGUACAAAGGUGUGAGUGAUAGGCAAAUCCGUCACUAUUAGCUGAAGUACGAAUGGGAGCGAAGAAAAGUAGCGAAGUUUCUGAAUCCACACUGUCAAGAAAAGCCGCUAUUGCGUUAUACGUACCCGUACCGCAAACCGACACAGGUAGAUGAGGAGAAAAUCCACAGGCCGACGGAAGAAGUGUUGUUAAGGAACUCGGCAAAAUGACCCCGUAACUUAGGGAUAAGGGGAGCCAACGCAAGUUGGUCACAGAAAAGAGGCUCAAGCGACUGUUUAGCAAAAACAUAGGUCUAUGCGAAACCGUAAGGUGAUGUAUAUGGGCUGACGCCUGCCCGGUGCUGGAAGGUUAAAAGGAGAGGUUAGCGUAAGCGAAGCUUUGAAUUCAAGCCCCAGUAAACGGCGGCCGUAACUAUAACGGUCCUAAGGUAGCGAAAUUCCUUGUCAGGUAAGUUCUGACCCGCACGAAAGGUGUAACGAUUUGAGCACUGUCUCGACAACACGCCCGGUGAAAUUGAAGAACCAGUGAAGAUACUGGUUACCCGCAACAGGACGGAAAGACCCCAUGGAGCUUUACUGCAGCUUAAUAUUGGGAUUCGGUAUUGUAUGUACAGGAUAGGUGGGAGACUAAGAAGCUAGCACGCCAGUGUUGGUGGAGUCGAUGGUGGGAUACCUCUCUUAUAAUACUGAAUUUCUAACCUACUUCCGUGAUCCGGAAGA
rnacentral:rRNA from 1 species